CCUACGGGGGGCAGCAGUGGGGAAUAUUGGACAAUGGGGGGAACCCUGAUCCAGCCAUGCCGCGUGUGUGAAGAAGGCCCUCGGGUUGUAAAGCACUUUCAGUGAGGAAGAACGCCUGGUGGUUAAUACCCAUCAGGAAAGACAUCACUCACAGAAGAAGCACCGGCUAACUCCGUGCCAGCAGCCGCGGUAAUACGGAGGGUGCGAGCGUUAAUCGGAAUUACUGGGCGUAAAGCGCGCGUAGGUGGCUUGAUAAGCCGGUUGUGAAAGCCCCGGGCUCAACCUGGGAACGGCAUCCGGAACUGGUCAGGCUGGGGGGAAGGGGGGAAAGGAGGAAUCCCCGGGGAGCGGGGAAAUGGGGUAGGGACCGGAAGAAAUCCAGGGGGGAAGGGCGCCCUCCUGGCCUGACACGGACACUGAGGUGCGAAGGGGUGGUAGCAAACAGGAUUAGAUACCCGAGUAGUC
rnacentral:rRNA from 1 species